CUCCAGUGAUGACCUUUUGAGUACCAUGUGUCUGGGCCACUGAGAUACUGUGAUGGAGCUGAGGUUCUGAGGAG
rnacentral:snoRNA from 15 species